GCCCUGCCUUCCAGAGGGCCCCGCUACAUCGUCUUCAUACCCCAGGGCCUCCCAGCCGCCCCACCUGCAGGGCUGCUAGAACUUUCUCCCGAGACAAAGCCUGCCAUUGUGCCUCCCUGGAGCCCGUCUCUGCAGUGGGGGGCAGGGUGUGUUGAGCGUCCCGGGUCCAGUGUCUCCGGCGUGUCCUGCAUCUCGGCAGCCAGCUCCUCUGCAGCUCAGGCCCCGUGAGUCACAGCCGCUUCCUCAAAUGCUUUGGCUGACCGCAUCCCCCCGCUCCGCCAGAACCCUGGAUGCCGGAGCCCUCCCAGCGAGAGCCGUGUUUAUUUUACUUUACAUACAUUUUCCAACCCGGAGCGGCUUCAACACAUGCAGCUCUUAGGCCCGGGCCGCACAUCUCAGAAGCCCCGUGUGCGACUUUGACUGCCGCACGAUCCUCUGCCGGGGGAGGUGGGCCCGCUGCGCUUUGGGAGCACCCGCGCCCGACACUGAGGUCUCGGUGCUGUCUUCGGCCUCUUCGCCCCUGAGGGUCCCCUCUGGGAGCAGAGGCGGUCGGAAAACCCUGGGGCUGAAGUGCAGGCUUCGGGAGGACGCGACCUGCCAAGAUCAGCUCCCGGCACGUGAUGGGAGCCUGGCUCACCUUCCCCCAGCACACGAUGGGGCUGCAGCCUCCCCGGUCAGCCUGGCCUGCUGGAAAGGAGCAGCUCUGUCUCCAGAGGCUUCUGGCGAAGCCCAUGGCCUCCCAAUGUUGGCUGAUUUAUAAGGAAAGAGGGGAAAGGCCAAGUGUGGAUGCCAUUAGCAUAACCUAAUCCAGACCCCAUGACAAGUCCAGGAUCCUGCAGGGAGAGGGCAUCCUUGAACGUGAAGGACUGGGUUUGGAAACUUGGCCUCCCGGAAGAAAGGUCUCCGGGCCCACCCACACCCCCCUUGUGGACGCCCCCGCAGUCUAAUACACUCCACAGUAAGACGGACCAGGAACAGCAGCAGCCUCCGGUGUCGGCCCAGUGAUCCGGGAGCUCAGAGUGUAGGUACCUGACGGCUUGACUCGUCCCCAGGACAAGGCCUGUGAGUGGGAGAGGGGCACUCUGAGUGUGCGAAUCUGUGAGAGUGUGUGUGUGUCUGGGCACGAGUGUGUAUGCGUGUGUGUGCAUGUAUAUUCACAUGUGUGAGGGUGUGAAUGUGUGUGUCUGUGGGUCUGGGCACAUGAGUGUGUGUGUGCAUAUACUACAUUCACGUGUGAGUGUGCAAAUGCGAGUGUGUCUGUAGGUCUGGGCACGUGUAUGCGUGUGUGUGCGAGUACUAUAUUCGCAUGUGUGAGUGUGCGAAUGUGUGUGUCUGUGGGUCUGGGCACACGAGUGUGUAUGCGUGUGUGUGCAUGUACUAUAUUCACGUGUGUGAGUGUGCGAAUGUGUCUGUGGGUCUGGGCACAUGAGUGUGUGCAUAUACUAUAUUCACGUGUGUGAGUGUGCAAAUGUGUGUCUGUAGGUCUGGGCACAUGUGUAUGCGUGUGUGUGCGAGUACUAUAUUCACGUGUGUGUGAGUGCGAAUGUGAGUGGGUGUGGGUCUGGUCACAUGUAUGUAUGCAUGUGUGCAUGUAUUAUAGUCAUGUGAGUGUGCAAAUGUGUGUGUGGGUCUGGGCACACAAGUGUGUAUGCAUGUGUUUCUAUUGUAUUCAUGUGAGUAUAAGUGCAAAUGUGUGAGUGUGUGUUCUCUGCACACACAAGUGUAUAGGUAUGUGUUUGUGUGUGCAUGCACUGUAUUCAUGUGAGUGUAUGUGAAUGUGUGACUGUGAGAGUUUGAGUGUGCCUGGGUGUCUGGCUAUACUAGUGCAUGUCUGUGUUCGUGUGCAUCAGUCUGGGUGUGCCCGUGUGUGAAUGUGUCUAUGCGUGGGUGUCCCAAUAUGUGUGUGCCUGUGUAUCCAUGUCUGGGUGUGCCUGUGAGUGUGAGUGUGCGCAUGGGUGUCUGGAUAUGUGAGUGCUUGUGACUACCUGUGUGUGUAUCCAUGUCUAGGUGUGCCCGUGGGUGUGAGUGUGUCUGUGCGUGGGUGUCUGGAUACGUGUGUGCCUGUAUGAGUGUGUAUCCAUGUCUGGGUGUGCCCACGGGUGUGAGUGUGAAUAUGUAAGUCUUGCGUGUGCAUGAGUGUGUUCACAUGAGUGUGAGGGUCUGUGCAUAAGAGCCUAUUGUGAGUGCAUGUGGAUUGCAUUUAUGUGAGUCCGUGUCUGUGUGCACGCACGUGUCCCCGCACAAGCCAGCCCGAGAGGGAGUGUCCCCUGAACACACCCUGGCAGCACUUGCAGCGUGAUGAGGUUGAGGGAAUGUGUCGCUGAGGUCGUAAAUGCCUCUCGCACGUCCCAACACGCUGGAGCAACAGCAGCCCGUGAUGCCGGCCGCGCAGCCGUGAAGUCCGUGGAGCGUCCCUAAUCACUGGGGGUUCUGCUUUGCGGUGACAGCGGUGCUACUCACAGCUCCAGAACUCUGCAGCUUCCCCCCUGAAACGGGAACGGGAAGGUGGCGCGGGCGUCCACACCUCGAGCCACAGCCGGCGGGAGGCACAGGCUGGCAAAACUGCCUCUCAGUAGUGAGAAGAGACAAACAAACCGAACGCCAGGAGCAGAGGAAACGAAGACGAUGUGGCCAAGAAAAAUUGCAUUUUUCUUUCCAGUUUUGCUAAAAUAGCCUUCUCAUUGGCUGCGGCUUUGGAGGUGGCAGAAAUCAUACGUUUAAUCACGGCGCCCUCCUGCUUGCCAAGGUUAGCAGGGGCUGUACUGCUGUGCCCUCCUGUCCCUGGAGGCUCUGGUGGCCCCACUCCCCACACUGCCAGGCUGGGUGCCACGCUGCCGUGACCCCGGAAUUCAGCCUGUGGUGAUCGGUCUUCCCUAGCACGGAGCUGAGUUAGGGGCUCUAGAAUCAGUCCCAGCCACGUGAGGCUCUCCCUGGGAUGUGAGGGUCGUCUCGUCUGUUUACACGGGGGCCACAGUGCAGAUCCCAGCCCGGGCAGGGGAGGGGCAAAUCUAUGCCCACUUCAAGCUUCCACUUCUGCCCGCCUCAAAGUGCCGGAGACUCCGGCACCUCUGCGUUCCUCCUUCCCGGUAGGAACAGAAAGCUGGGAAAGGGCUGGGGUGGCAAGGAAGAGCCCCAGGAAGACGGGAGUGGCUCUCCCCACUCCCUAGAGGACCUCCCUCCCCCAAGCCCAUGGGCCGCCUUCUCCAGGGACUCUUCCCUGUCCCACCCACCGGGCAAGGUGGGCCCAGCAGGGUCUCCUUUUCACCGUGCGCCCCCUCCUGUGGCCGGGUCCUGGGCUAAUGACCUCACAUGCUGCUUUUACAAGUCAGGUUUAUUGCGGUAUCACGUACACACAUAAGGCUCACCCGUUUUCGAUGUACAGCCGACGACUUGCUUUGCGUCCUCCAGAAUUGUCCUGUGAGUGACUCCCGCAGGAUGGAGACUUUUGUGUCUGGCUUCCUUCACUUCGCAGCAGGCUUCGCGGGACCCGUGUGGUGGCACCAGCGUCCAGCCCUUGAAACCCAUGAAAGAGGAUCCUGAAAGAGCAAGGGCAGCCUCCAGGUGAAGGUGGUGGGCGGCCUCCAGGUGAAGGCGGCCUCCAGGUGAAGGUGGUCAGCACCCUACCUUUGGCCAAGAGCAGACUGCAGUUUCAACUCAAAGAUUAUUCCUGAAUGAGUGAGUGACUGCAUCUCUCUUCUCCUCACCCCUGCUGUGGUUGUGUCUCCUCUUCAAGAAAAACCAAUAUGUGGAAAGGCCUAAGUCUGCACAAAACAAAUAUUUAUUUUACAAAAUAUUGUUUUUUGCUUUUCCAGUGCAGCAAGCUUAAACUUCCUUAAAAACAAACCUCUGGGAAGAGGAAAAUGAGGCAAGAUGCUGAGAAAAAGUCAUCUCCCACUCUGCCCUUCUCUGGCAAAUCGAAGUGUCCUCUUGUGGGAGGCGGUGGGCAGCGACACUCCCGUUGGACGUCAGUGCUCUCGGGCCCGGCCACCCCGGAGCAGAACUCACUU
rnacentral:lncRNA from 10 species